CGCCCUUGAGUUUGAUCAUGGCUCAGAAUGAACGUUGGCGGCGUGGAUUAGGCAUGCAAGUCGAGCGAGAACCGUAGCAAUACGGGGAAAGCGGCCUAAGGGAGAGUAACGCGUGGAUACCUACCUCCAGGACCAGGAUAGCCGCGGGAAACUGCGGGUAAUACUGGAUAAUGUCCCCGGACCAAUGGGUGCGAUUCCGCCGGGAGAUGGGUCCGCGUCCUAUUAGCUAGUUGGUGAGGUAACGGCUCACCAAGGCAACGAUGGGUACGGGGUGUGAGAGCAUGCCCCCGCUCACUGGGACUGAGACACUGCCCAGACACCUACGGGUGGCUGCAGUCGAGGAUCUUCGGCAAUGGGCGCAAGCCUGACCGAGCGACGCCGCGUGCGGGAUGAAGUUUUUUUUGUUGUAAACCGCUGUCAGUGGGGAGGAAAUCUAUAAGGGUUCUCUCUUAUAGUUGACCUAUCCGCAGAGGAAGUGUGGGCUAAGCUCGUGCCAGCAGCCGCGGUAA
rnacentral:rRNA from 1 species